GGCCGGCGUUGUUCUUGGCUCUUCGAGUCGGUUCAACGCUUGGUCAUCCGUAUGAGAAGCCAGCUCGACCUUCACUGGUCGGUUGGUGGAUCAUACCUUUUACUUUGAAAAAAUUAGAGUGUUUCAAGCAGGCAAUUGCUUGGAUACUUCAGCAUGGAAUAAUGGAAUAGGACUUUGACCUAUUUGUUGGUUUCUCGAGGUCAAAGUA
rnacentral:rRNA from 1 species